CCCUCCCUCGCUGAGAGCCGCCGCCCCCGCCCCCCCUUUUCCCUCGCUGAGAGCCUGAUAGCCGCCUCCUCUCGGUGUCGUCGCCUCUUCAACGACCGGCCGGCGGCUCUUCGCGUCCUUCUCCCCCGGACGGCAACCUCCGCGGCUCCGGUCACCGACUCACAGUCACCGGGAAAAUCAUGGCCACCAUGAACAUGAAUCUUAUUAUGGAGAACGGGACACAGAAAGUUUAGUUGUGGCAAUGGAAACUCUGGUUGCACCUGUUCCAAGAGAGUUCCAUAAACUAGCAUUGGAUGACAAAUCUGGUCAAACCA